GGGGUUGUAGCUCAGUGGUAGAGCUCUUGCUUUGCACGCGUGAGGCCCUGGGUUUGAUCCCCAGCACCA
rnacentral:tRNA from 1 species